UAGACCAUGAAUUUGGCCCACUCACUACAGGAAAUACGAGUAUUUAUAGUACUAGCGGAUAGCGUUUUUUGUGUUUCUGCUAUGGUUGACAUACCCUUUACUUUUAUAUAGCGUUUGUUAAAAUACAAACGCUAUGUUUUGUUGCUCCGAUUUUAAUUGUGCCAACGCUUUUUAGAAACGUAGUAUACAUAGCAAUGUCAGUUUUGAAACGCUAUCCAAAAUUAAGGUGGGAUAAUAAUUUCAUUUUCCCUCUCACCCUCGUUUCACAUUCCCUCUCACUCCAUUUCAUUUGUCAACCCUCCAAAACCCCUAAACUCCAAAUCCUAAACCCUAAACCCUAAACUCUGUAAUCUAAAAUUUAAAUACAACCCCUAAAACUAAAAUAUUUUCUUAUUUUAAUCUCAAAAUAAGAAAAUAUGUCUUCAUC
rnacentral:lncRNA from 1 species